rnacentral:rRNA from 1 species
AGUGAACGCUGGCGGUAGGCCUAACACAUGCAAGUCGAACGGCAGCACAGUAAGAGCUUGCUCUUACGGGUGGCGAGUGGCGGACGGGUGAGGAAUACAUCGGCAUCUACUUUUUCGUGGGGGAUAACGUAGGGAAACUUACGCUAAUACCGCAUACGAUCUGCGGGUGAAAGCAGGGGAUCUUCGGACCUUUCGCGAUUGAAUGAGCCGAUGUCGGAUUAGCUAGUUGGCGGGGUAAAGGCCCACCAAGGCGACGAUCCGUAGCUGGUCUGAGAGGAUGAUCAGCCACACUGGAACUGAGACACGGUCCAGACUCCUACGGGAGGCAGCAGUGGGGAAUAUUGGACAAUGGGCGCAAGCCUGAUCCAGCCAUACCGCGUGGGUGAAGAAGGCCUUCGGGUUGUAAAGCCCUGUUGUUGGGAAAGAAAAGCAGCGGGUUAAUACCCCGCUGUUCUGACGGUACCCAAAGAGUAAGCACCGGCUAACUUCGUG